UGGGGAAUAUUGCACAAUGGGCGCAAGCCUGAUGCAGCAACGCCGCGUGAGGGACGACGGCCUUCGGGUUGUAAACCUCUUUUGGCAGGGAAGAAGCGAAAGUGACGGUACCUGCAGAAAAAGCACCGGCUAACUACGUGCCAGCAGCCGCGGUGAUACGUAGGGUGCAAGCGUUGUCCGGAAUUAUUGGGCGUAAAGAGCUCGUAGGCGGUUUGUCGCGUCUGCUGUGAAAACACGAGGCUCAACCUCGGGCCUGCAGUGGGUACGGGCAAACUAGAGUGCGGUAGGGGAGAUUGGAAUUCCUGGUGUAGCGGUGGAAUGCGCAGAUAGCAGGAGGAACACCGAUGGCGAAGGCAGAUCUCUGGGCCGUAACUGACGCUGAGGAGCGAAAGCAUGGGGAGCGAACA
rnacentral:rRNA from 1 species